AUGGCAGACACGGGCUCGCAAUCGUCAGCAGGAAGUGCGACCUCGGGAGGCAAGCCAAUCGGGGUUGAGGAGAUGAUCGGAAAACUCAGGUUACAAGAACGGGAGGAGGAUGAUCUGAUUUUUGAAGAGGAGUUUCCAAAUGAGAUCGAGGAAGCAAAGUUCAUGGCGCUGGCGACGGUGCACACCAACAAGCCCUUCAGUCGAGGAUCGUUCUACGAUAUGAUGCGACUCGCUUGGAGUCUAGCACAAGGAGUAGCCUUCAAACCCCUCGGCGAAAAUCAGUUCUCCUUGACGGUGAAUUGUUUAGGGGAUUGGAAG
rnacentral:rRNA from 1 species